rnacentral:rRNA from 1 species
AGUGAACGCUGGCGGUAGGCCUAACACAUGCCAGUCGAACGGCAGCACAGUAAGAGCUUGCUCUUACGGUUGGCGAGUGGCGGACGGGUGAGGAAUAAAUCGGAAUCUACUUUUUCGUGGGGGAUAACGUAGGGAAACUUACGCUAAUACCGCAUACGACCUACGGGUGAAAGCAGGGGAUCUUCGGACCUUGCGCGAUUGAAUGAGCCGAUGGCGGAUUAGCUAGUUGGCGGGGUAAAGGCCCACCAAGGCGACGAUCCGUAGCUGGUCUGAGAGGAUGAUCAGCCACACUGGAACUGAGACACGGUCCAGACUCCUACGGGAGGCAGCAGUAGGGAAUAUUGGGCAAUGGGCGCAAGCCUGAUCCAGCCAUACCGCGUGGGUGAAGAAGGCCUUCGGGUUGUAAAGCCCUGUUGUUGGGAAAGAAAAGCAGCAGGUUAAAACCCCGCUGUUCUGACGGUACCCAAAGAAUAAGCACCGGCUAACUUCGUG